UCCAGACUCCUACGGGAGGCAGCAGUGGGGGAUAUUGCACAAUGGGGGGAACCCUGAUGCAGCGACGCCGCGUGGGUGAAGGAGCGUUUCGGCGCGUAAAGCCCUAUCGGCAGGGAAGAAGGAGGACGGUACCUGACUAAGAAGCCCCGGCUAACUAUGUGCCAGCAGCCGCGGUAAUACAUAGGGGGCAAGCGUUAUCCGGAAUUAUUGGGUGUAAAGGGUGCGUAGACGGAGAAACAAGUUGGUUGUGAAAUCCCUCGGCUCAACCGAGGAACUGCAACCAAAACUAUUUCCCUUGAGUGUCGGAGAGGAAAGUGGAAUUCCUAGUGUAGCGGUGAAAUGCGUAGAUAUUAGGAGGAACACCAGUGGCGAAGGCGGCCUGCUGGACUGCAACUGACGUUGAGGCUCGAAGGCGUGGGGAGCAAACAGGAUUAGAUACCCGAGUA
rnacentral:rRNA from 1 species